AUACGGAGGGUGCGAGCGUUAAUCGGAAUUACUGGGCGUAAAGCGUACGUAGGCGGUUGGUUAAGUUAGAUGUGAAAGCCCCGGGCUUAACCUGGGAACUGCAUUUGAAACUGGGUAACUAGAGUUUAGUAGAGGGGAGUGGAAUUUCAGGUGUAGCGGUGAAAUGCGUAGAGAUCUGAAGGAACACCAGUGGCGAAGGCGACUCCCUGGACUAAAACUGACGCUGAGGUACGAAAGCGUGGGUAGCAAACAGGAUUAGAAACCCGGGUAGUCC
rnacentral:rRNA from 1 species